rnacentral:rRNA from 1 species
UACAGGGGGUGCAAACGUUGCUCGGAAUCAUUGGGCGUAAAGCGCACGUAGGCGGUUAUCUAAGUCGGAUGUGAAAGCCCUUGGCUCAACCAAGGAAGUGCAUCCGAAACUGGAUGACUUGAGUACGGAAGAGGCGAGUGGAAUUCCUGGUGUAGCGGUGAAAUGCGCAGAUAUCAGGAGGAACACCAAUUGCGAAGGCAGCUCGCUGGGACGUUACUGACGCUGAGACGCGAAAGCGUGGGGAGCAAACAGG